CCUACGGGAGGCUGCAGUGGGGAAUAUUGGGCAAUGGAGGAAACUCUGACCCAGCAACGCCGCGUGAAUGAUGAAGGUCUUCGGAUUGUAAAGUUCUUUUCUAAGGGAAGAAGAAAGUGACGGUACCUUAGGAAUAAGCCUCGGCUAACUACGUGCCAGCAGCCGCGGUAAUACGUAGGAGGCGAGCGUUAUCCGGAAUGACUGGGCGGAAAGGGUGUGUAGGUGGUUUGGCAAGUUAGUAGCGUAACUCCAAGGCUCAACCGUGGAACUACUACUAAAACUGUUGGACUUGAGUGCAGGAGGGGCAACCGGAAUUCCUAGUGUAGCGGUGGAAUGCGUAGAUAUUAGGAGGAACACCAGUGGCGAAGGCGGGUUGCUGGACUGUAACUGACACUGAGGCACGAAAGCGUGGGGAGCAAACAGGAUUAGAUACCCGAGUAGUC
rnacentral:rRNA from 1 species